AGGAGAGUUUGAUCCUGGCUCAGAACGAACGCUGGCGGCGCGUUUUAAGCAUGCAAGUCGAGCGGUAGCAGCAAUGCGAGAGCGGCGGACGGGUGAGUAACACGUGGGUAAUCUGCCCUCCGGUCGGGAAUAGCCUGUGGAAACACAGGAUAAUACCGGAUGCGAUGGUUUUCACACAAGUGGAGAUCAGGAAAGGAGCCAAGGCUCCGCCGGAGGAUGAGCCCGCGUCCCAUUAGCUAGAUGGUGAGGUAAAGGCCCACCAUGGCGAUGAUGGGUAGCCGGCCUGAGAGGGUGAACGGCCACAUUGGAACUGAGACACGGUCCAGACUCCUACGGGAGGCAGCAGCUAAGAAUCUUCCACAAUGGACGAAAGUCUGAUGGAGCGACGCCGCGUGGGCGAUGAAGGCCGUGAGGUUGUAAAGCCCUUUUCUUGAGGGGGAAUAAAGCGGGCAGGGAAUGGCCUGCUGAUGACGUGAAUCAAGGAAUAAGCCCCGGCUAACUACGUGCCAGCAGCCGCGGUAACACGUAGGGGGCGAGCGUUGUUCGGAAUCAUUGGGCGUAAAGGGCGCGCAGGCGGCCGCGUAAGUCUGGUGUAAAAUGGUUGUGCUCAACACAAUCAUGCGCUGGAAACUGCGGGGCUUGAGUCAACGAGGGGAUGCCGGAAUUCCAGGUGUAGGGGUGAAAUCUGUAGAUAUCUGGAAGAACACCAGUGGCGAAGGCAGGCAUCUGGCGACUGACUGACGCUGAGGCGCGAAGGUGCGGGGAGCAAACAGGUUUAGAUACCCUGGUAGUCCCCU
rnacentral:rRNA from 1 species